CCGCCCGUCACACCACGAAAGUCAAUUGCACCAGAAAUCGCUGUGCUAACCGUAAGGAGGCAGGCGCUCAAGGUGCGGUCGAUGAUUGGGGUG
rnacentral:rRNA from 1 species